GCCGCCUCCCCCGCCGCCGCCUCCCCCGCCGCCGCCGCCACUGCCGUUGCGCUCCAGGUCUGCAAACAGUGAGCUGGGCAUCGCUCCGCCGUGCGCGCCGCGCCCCAGCCGGCUCUCGGCUCGGCAGCUAGAAGGUUGAGAAGAAAAGGCGCCCAACUGUGAUGCCAGCCGCCAGACUCCAAAAAGCGGUCCUUCUAAAGUCCCGUUACUGCCCCCAAAUAAAGCAUUCCUGGAGCUGAUGCGACCACUAGGUGGACAGUAUACUGUACAAGAGGUCUGCAAAGCUGUUUUGCACACAUCUUGCAGACUGAAUACAUGGCAGGAGGAAUUCAAAUCUCCAUGUGAAAGAAAGCAAGCUCACUUCAAUCAGUGCGACUGAGCUCAAGUAAAGCACUGGUACAAAAAUGAUCGAGAUGGUGGGGGAAAGGACUCUUCCCGGAGCCAUUGUUCAUGUGGAAACCAGUCACACAGAGGGUCUGAAUGUGCAAAGGAGUAAUCCACCCGGCGUUCUGGCAGGACCUCGCAGAGGAGAUAAGUGUACUGUGCUUCAGAGAAGGAGGUGCACGAAUUUAUAGAGACCAGAGCUCUACAGCAUGUAGCUUCUACUUAGGAACUCAAUACCGGCUUAUUAGAUGAAUGAGGGAGCCAGGCAGAAUAGCCCUGAAGGCAUAAUUUCCUUAAGUACACACAUGAAUAAUUCAAUCUCUAGGAAACACUUCAAAUGACUCCAGCCACAACAACAUGACUUUGAGCAAUGUUGGUAAUCACAGAUAAUAUUUAUUACACACAUAUGAUGUGCCAGUCUAUAAAUGUUUUCCAAUAUAAUAUAAGGUUUAAUUCUCAUAAUUGCCCUGAGUCAAAGACUGUCCAUGUACCCAUUUUACAGAUGCAAAGUAGCUAAGUCCUUUAUCCCAUCAGAGGCAGAUUUACCUCCAAGUCUAUGAAGCUUUAGUUUAGGGGCUCUCGCCUAACACAGUACCCCCAAGACACUCCUAACAAUUUAUUUCUUCACCAAGUCAUGCAUUUCAGUAAUGUUUUCAACAAUGGCGUUUUUAUUCAUUUUCUUAAUGAGAACUCUGAAGAUGAAGUAAGCUUCAGGACCAACAAAUCUUAGAAAAACUAUUGUCCCCAAGCUAAUAGGUAGCAUCAGAGACCAUGAUCCUAGCCAAGCCUAAGUUCUUUCCUGUCUCUGAGCCAAGAGUCCUCAGCUGAAAGUUGGAAAUAUUUACAGCCCUAUAUCCUACACAGGGUUAUAACAAUCCCACAUGGGAAGGGAUAUGAAGUUCUUUGUUGGUCUUAUAUUUUUCCAUUGUCUCUGUAUUCUUAACAUGCCAGAGACACAGUUCAUGCAAUCUGAAUCUAUUUGGUAAAAUAUUUGAAUAAUGUAGGAAACCCUCUCCUUAUGUUGACUGGACAUAAUAGACAUGUGUUGUGCAAACAGAUGCAUUCAACUGUGUUUGAGAGCACUUAGCAUUAAAAACAAUGAAGAAAUAGUAAAAAGCA